AAGUCGUAACAAGGUUUCCGUAGGUGAACCUGCGGAAGGAUCAUUACCAAUAUAGCGAACCGAGCGUUAGCGAGGCUUCGCGAUCAAAUUUGUAUUUAAAACCCAACUCUUUAAAUGUAUAUAUUAUUAUUGUAUUCUAAAUAAUAAAGAUCACUUUCAACAACGGAUCUCUUGGCUCUC
rnacentral:misc_RNA from 1 species